GGGGCUGCUGACAAAAUCAGGAUGUGACAUCACUGACAGGAAAAAAAAGGUCAAUUAUUAUUAUUAUUUUUUUUUUCAGUAUGUUAAAUUCUCCCAGGCGGUGUAGAGUUUUUGCAGGACAAGAAGAAGAAGAAGAAGGAGGAGGGAGGGACGAGUGAGUUGUCUCAGGCUUUUCUCAAACAUACAAGUUUGGGCUUCAGACUAUACAUUCCUGUCUGUCUGUAUUUCUUAGGAAACUGGCCAGUCACUGGGAGAACUCAAUACAUUUCACCCUGGACUGUGUAAAUACGUUUCCUCUUUCAA